rnacentral:rRNA from 1 species
UACGUAGGGGGCAAGCGUUGUCCGGAAUCAUUGGGCGUAAAGAGCGUGUAGGCGGCCCGGUCAGUCGGUUGUGAAAGUCAGGGGCUCAACCCUUGAAUGCCGACCGAUACUGCCGGGCUAGAGUCCGGAAGAGGCGAGUGGAAUUCCUGGUAUAGCGGUGAAAUGCGCAGAUAUCAGGAGGAACACCAAUGGCGAAGGCAGCUCGCUGGGACGGUACUGACGCUGAGACGCGAAAGCGUGGGGAGCAAACAGG